rnacentral:rRNA from 1 species
AUUGAACGCUGGCGGCAGGCCUAACACAUGCAAGUCGAACGAGUGGCGGACGGGUGAGUAAUGUCUGGGAAACUGCCUGAUGGAGGGGGAUAACUACUGGAAACGGUAGCUAAUACCGCAUACCAUCAGAUGUGCCCAGAUGGGAUUAGCUAGUUGGUGGGGUAACGGCUCACCAAGGCGAAGAUCCCUAGCUGGUCUGAGAGGAUGCCCCGCCAAACUGGAACUGAGAAACGGGCCAGACCCCUACGGGGAGCAGCAGUGGGGAAAAUUGCACAAUGGGCGCAAGCCUGAUGCCGCCAUGCCGCGUGUAAGAAGAAGGGCUUCGGGUUGUAAAGUACUUUCAGCGGGGAGGCGUUACCCGCAGAAGAAGCACCGGCUAACUCCGUUCCAGCAGCCGCGGUAAUAC